AUGCAGGCGGGAGAAACUGGGGGCGCUCGUCGGUUGGGAAGAUGGCGACCACUUGAGCUUCUCGAUCUGGACAGGGCCACUACAGCACAAGCAAGGGGUGGGCGCGAGCAACAAUAUGGAGCCACACACGUCUACAGCCCAUACAUAGAUGACAGGCCUGCAAGGAAAGGAGCAGAAGAAAACAUGCUUGGCUGUUUGUUUCCAGGAAGUAACGAUCAAAGAAGAAGAGUUAGAUGCUGCUUUGAUGGUAAACAUAUGCUUUAUUCUGGGAAGCAUAUGUUCUUGGUGCUUAAUAGCUUUGCAUUAACCUUCAAGGUUUGCCUUCCCAAUUUUAUCUCAUCGUCUUUGAUCCAGUUAGUGCCCAGCUUCUUCUGCUCUUGGUGA
rnacentral:rRNA from 1 species